CAGCAGCCGCGGUAAUACGUAGGGGGCAAGCGUUGUCCGGAUUUAUUGGGCGUAAAGAGCGUGUAGGCGGCUAUACAGGUCCGCUGUGAAAACUCGAGGCUCAACCUCGAGACGUCGGUGGAAACCGUAUGGCUAGAGUCCGGAAGAGGAGAGUGGAGUUCCUGGUGUAGCGGUGAAAUGCGCAGAUAUCAGGAAGAACACCCGUGGCGAAGGCGGCUCUCUGGGACGGUACUGACGCUGAGACGCGAAAGCGUGGGGAGCGAACAGGAUUAGAUACCCUGGUAGUCCACGCCGUAAACGAUGAUUGCUUGGUGUAGCAGGUACCCAAUCCUGCUGUGCCGAAGCUAACGCGACAAGCAAUCCGCCUGGGGAGUACGGUCGCAAGGCU
rnacentral:rRNA from 1 species